CGGCGAUUAGCGCAGCUUGGUAGCGCACUUGGUUUGGGUCCAAGGGGUCGCAGGUUCAAAUCCUGCAUCGCCGACCA
rnacentral:tRNA from 43 species